rnacentral:rRNA from 1 species
CAGCAGCCGCGGUAAUACAGAGGGUGCAAGCGUUAAUCGGAAUUACUGGGCGUAAAGCGCGCGUAGGUGGUUUGUUAAGUUGGAUGUGAAAUCCCCGGGCUCAACCUGGGAACUGCAUCCAAAACUGGCAAGCUAGAGUAUGGUAGAGGGUGGUGGAAUUUCCUGUGUAGCGGUGAAAUGCGUAGAUAUAGGAAGGAACACCAGUGGCGAAGGCGACCACCUGGACUGAUACUGACACUGAGGUGCGAAAGCGUGUGGAGCAAACAGGAUUAGAUACCCCGGUAGUCCCUGUCUCUUAUAC